AUUGAACGCUGGCGGCAUGCCUUACACAUGCAAGUCGAACGGUAACAGGUCUUCGGAUGCUGACGAGUGGCGAACGGGUGAGUAAUGCAUCGGAACGUGCCUAGUAGUGGGGGAUAACUACUCGAAAGAGUGGCUAAUACCGCAUGAGAUCUACGGAUGAAAGCAGGGGAUCGCAAGACCUUGUGCUACUAGAGCGGCCGAUGGCAGAUUAGGUAGUUGGUGGGAUAAAAGCUUACCAAGCCGACGAUCUGUAGCUGGUCUGAGAGGACGAUCAGGCACACAGGGACUGAGACACGGCCCAGACGCCUACGGGAGGCAGCAGUGGGGAAUUUUGGACAAUGGGCGCAAGCCUGAUCCAGCAAUGCCGCGUGCAGGAUGAAGGCCUUCGGGUUGUAAACUGCUUUUGUACGGAACGAAAAGCCCUGGGUUAAUACCCUGGGGUCAUGACGGUACCGUAAGAAUAAGCACCGGCUAACUACGUGCCAGCAGCCGCGGUAA
rnacentral:rRNA from 1 species